ensembl:lncRNA
CAUGCAGGUGCUGAAAGGAACUUUUGCCUUUCUCUUUGUCCUGCCCAGUGGGGACAGGAAGAACAGCCUUCCGUGGGAAACACAGAUGAGAUUCAGCGACACCGUUAUCCUCGCCCAUCGCCCUUCCCCCAUCCCUCUGGAAGCUUCUUCGGCUGCAGACCUCUUCAUUAUGUGGCUGUUUGUUUCCGGAACCUGGUGCUCCCUCCGGGGACUCCUUGGUACUUUGCAUCGCUGGCCAAAAGGAGAAUGAGAACGCGCGAAGGGCACCAGGGCCCUAUAAGGCAGGUGCGAGACGAUCCUCCGCCUCCUGUGGCCUGGGGCGCACAGAAGGGAGGACAAGGCGCAGGGGACGGUCCCAAGACCGCAGACGGCCGCUGCACUCCCCGGCCCCCGCUCCCGGGAAGUGGGCUUCCGGGGGCUCCGGGUUGCCGAGCGAGUGUGCGGUGCGCGCGCCGCGCGGAGGUGGCGUCCGGCCGGUGCGGGAGGAGGCGGGGAGCGUCCGCCCGGGGCCGCGCGGCCAGUCCCCACCUCCGUUCGGCCUCAGCUGCGGCUGCUCCCGUUAGAUGGCGCUCGAGGCUUUCCGACUGCUAGCGAAGGCCCCUCCUCGUGUCUCCUGAGCGAGCCCCGCCGUGGAGAGGGGUGCAUUUCUCGGAGUCGGAACGCGCAGCGCCGAGACCUCCUUUGUGCCUGCCCUUGGCUGUGAACUUUCCCGCGCGGCGGGUUCUCCUUUAAGAAAAUAGCGAUCUCCAUGAAUAUUUAAUGCAGCGCGAGGGCCGUCCGGGCGGAGGGGAGUCCCGCGCCCGGGUCCCCACGGCCGCGACGGGGACCGGGGGGCCAGGGGCGCGAGCCCAGCCGGGGCGCGCGGCCUGGCGCGUUCAUUUCCAUAAGAAAGCCGGCGGCGCGGUCGGGGAGAGGAUCUGGCCCCCGGUCGCCCUCCCCUGGGGACUCGGCUUUCUGCUAGAAGCGGGCUCGGGAGCUCAGAGUCCCGAAUGUGCGCUCUGGUCUUUGAUGCUAUCGACAAAGUAUGGUUUCAGAUGUUGCCCAGGCUGAGGCCGGUUUCCUGUCUGUUUGUGGAGUGGAUGGAAGGACCGCGCCGGUGUGCAGUGUUCCAGUCAACUAAAUGGACUUGCCUUCAGCCAGGAGGGAGCCAUUUCUGCAGGACAGAACUAAUAUUGGGUCUCCCAGGAAGCUCUUCAUCAAAACAGCCCUUGUCCUUUUUUUGUUGUUUCUGAAUUAAAAAGAUGCGUUUGCCUUCCUCUCCGUAUUCACGCCCUUAUUUUGUAGCCACAAUGAAAUCAGUUCAGUUCUUUAUAUCCUCUGUUAAUGUCUUAUUUUGGGGGGCCUCAGGAAGCUCCAAACCCGCCUUGGUGUGUCCUGUGCUUCUGAUGUUUACUCACUACUCCCUGGGUCACCCGGAGACUCAUACUCAGUUCUUCCUCCACUUGGGUAUCACUUCUCUCCUAAAG